GACGAACGCUGGCGGCGUGCUUAACACAUGCAAGUCGAACGGUAAGGCCCUUCGGGGUACACGAGUGGCGAACGGGUGAGUAACACGUGGGUGAUCUGCCCUGCACUUCGGGAUAAGCCUGGGAAACUGGGUCUAAUACCGGAUAGGACCCUGGGAUGCAUGUCCUGGGGUGGAAAGCUUUUGCGGUGUGGGAUGGGCCCGCGGCCUAUCAGCUUGUUGGUGGGGUGAUGGCCUACCAAGGCGACGACGGGUAGCCGGCCUGAGAGGGUGACCGGCCACACUGGGACUGAGAUACGGCCCAGACUCCUACGGGAGGCAGCAGUGGGGAAUAUUGCGCAAUGGGCGCAAGCCUGAUGCAGCGACGCCGCGUGAGGGAUGACGGCCUUCGGGUUGUAAACCUCUUUCAGCACCGACGAAGCGCAAGUGACGGUAGGCGCAGAAGAAGGAUCGGCCAACUACGUGCCAGCCGCCGCCGUAA
rnacentral:rRNA from 1 species